rnacentral:rRNA from 1 species
GUCCUUAGUUACCAGCACGUUAAGGUGGGCACUCUAAGGAGACUGCCGGUGACAACCGGAGGAAGUGGGGAUGACGUCAAGUCAUCAUGGCCCUUACGGCCUGGGCUACACACGUGCUACAAUGGUCGGUACAAAGGGUUGCCAAGCCGCGAGGUGGAGCUAAUCCCAUAAACCGAUCGUAGUCCGGAUCGCAGUCUGCAACUCGACUGCGUGAAGUCGGAAUCGCUAGUAAUCGUGAAUCAGAAUGUCACGGUGAAUACGUUCCCGGGCCUU